rnacentral:rRNA from 1 species
UACGGAGGGGGCUAGCGUUAUUCGGAAUUACUGGGCGUAAGGCGCACGUAGGCGGAUUGGGAAGUUGGAGGUGAAAUCCCAGGGCUCAACCUUGGAACUGCCUUCAAAACUCCCAGUCUUGAGGUCGAGAGAGGUAAGUGGAAUUCCGAGUGUAGAGGUGAAAUUCGUAGAUAUUCGGAAGAACACCAGUGGCGAAGGCGACAUACUGGCUCAUUACUGACGCUGAGGCUCGAAAGCGUGGGGAGCAAACAGU